AAAUUUAAAAUUUGAAGUUUAAAAUUUGAUAUUUGAAAUUUAAAAUUUAAAUUUUGAAUUUUGAAAACUAAAAUUUAAAAUGAAAUUUGAAAUUCUAAAUUUGAAAUUUAAAAUUUAAAAUUUAAAAAUUAAAUUUGAAAAUAAAAAAUUUAGAAUUAAAAUUUGAAAUUAUAAAUUAAAAAAAUUAAAAUUUGAAAUUUAUUAUUUGUAAACUAAAAUUUAAAAUUUGAUAUUCAAAAAUUAAAAUUUGAAUUUAUAAAAUAAAAAAAUUAAAAUUUAAAAUUUGACAUUUAAAUUUUGAAAUUAUAAAAUUUAAUUUUUGAUAUUUCAAAUUUAAAAUUCAAAUUUUAAAUUUGAAAUUAAAAUUUUGAAUAUAAAUUAAAUUGUAAAAUUUAAAAUUUGAAAUCUUUGUUGAAAUUUAAAAUUUCAUGUUGAAAUUUAAAAGUUAGAACUUGAUGCAUCUUUGCCCAAGAAUGGUGGAAUUUUUUUCCUUUGGUUAGAGUGGAUUAUAAUUUUACUCUAUUUUUCGGAGUAUAGUUUAACUAUACUCCAAAAAUUACGGUAUAUAGGAUAAAUUUUCUACAGGUGUAGUAUAGUUUAACUAUGCUACAUUUUUAAGAGUAUCCAAACGGAGCCUAAGUCUACAGUAAGAUAUGCAAAGGAUAGUAAGAAAAGCUGGAAAGAACUCUACAGCUACAUGCCACUAUACUAUCGCUAACCAAUACAGGCUAUAUGUAGACAUAGACAUACAUCACACUGACCUAAUCUCAGCAGCGCUGCCCAAACGGACCCACCCUUCUUGUAGGCAAGCUACACCGUACACCACCCACGGAGUUGGCCGGUCCAAGUACACUGUCAAAACAGGACUGCUGCGACAUCAAUGCAAGUAAAGCCUCAUUCCGGAGCGGCACUCGUGGGAGCUGUUAGUUGUAUGCCCUAGAAGCCUAUCAGGCUAACGCAUUUUGUUUUCUAUGGGACAUAUAUUUGUACUUAAUCUUUAUUAUUUAUAUAAUUGGGCAUUUUAUUCCAUUCAUGUUUAAUGUGUCCGUGAAUCGUCUUUUGAAUUAAUAAGAUGAUAAUAUGUAUUCUCAAGAGUUGAGAAUUUGAGAUACAUAUUAUUGGUGAUUAAUUCAUAAAUGCUCUCAAUCGGAGAAUCAUUAUGGGGACGAUGAUUGAUCCGGUAAGAUUGAUGUGUGUGCCGCUUCUCUUUUGGGAUGACGAAUCUCAAGUCAUCAGUGUGGGGACACUGGAACGAAUAUGCAUGUGGUUGUUGGAGAACAAUGGUACUG
rnacentral:lncRNA from 1 species